rnacentral:rRNA from 1 species
GACGAACGCUGGCGGCGUGCCUAAUACAUGCAAGUCGAGCGAAUCAUUAGGAGCUUGCUCCUGAUGGUUAGCGGCGGACGGGUGAGUAACACGUGGGCAACCUGCCUGUAAGACUGGGAUAACACCGGGAAACCGGUGCUAAUACCGGAUAAUUCUUUCCCUCACAUGAGGGAAAGCUGAAAGUCGGUUUCGGCUGACACUUACAGAUGGGCCCGCGGCGCAUUAGCUAGUUGGUGAGGUAACGGCUCACCAAGGCGACGAUGCGUAGCCGACCUGGGAGGGUGAUCGGCCACACUGGGACUGAGACCCGGCCCAGACUCCUACGGGAGGCAGCAGUAGGGAAUCUUCCGCAAUGGACGAAAGUCUGACGGGGCAACGCCGCGUGAGUGAUGAAGGCCUUCGGGUCGUAAAACUCUGUUGUUAGGGAAGAACAAGUAUCGGAGUAACUGCCGGUACCUUGACGGUACCUAACCAGAAAGCCACGGCUAACUACGUGCCAGCAGCCGCCGCCGUAA